AGGGGCGUAGGUUAUGCAGUUAAACCCCCCGACUGUUAAUCGGGUGAAACGGGUGCAAGUCCCGUCGCCUCUGCCA
rnacentral:tRNA from 1 species